rnacentral:rRNA from 1 species
AUUGAACGCUGGCGGCAUGCCUUACACAUGCAAGUCGAACGGCAGCACGGGUGCUUGCACCUGGUGGCGAGUGGCGAACGGGUGAGUAAUACAUCGGAACAUGUCCUGUAGUGGGGGAUAGCCCGGCGAAAGCCGGAUUAAUACAGCAUACGAUCUACGGAUGAAAGCGGGGGACCUUCGGGCCUCGCGCUAUAGGGUUGGCCGAUGGCUGAUUAGCUAGUUGGUGGGGUAAAGGCCUACCAAGGCGACGAUCAGUAGCUGGUCUGAGAGGACGACCAGCCACACUGGGACUGAGACACGGCCCAGACUCCUACGGGAGGCAGCAGUGGGGAAUUUUGGACAAAGGGCGAAAGCCUGAUCCAGCAAUGCCGCGUGUGUGAAGAAGGCCUUCGGGUUGUAAAGCACUUUUGUCCGGAAAGAAAUCCUUGGCCCUAAUACGGUCGGGGGAUGACGGUACCGGAAGAAUAAGCACCGGCUAACUACGUG